rnacentral:lncRNA from 1 species
GUAUUGGUGGUGCGCGUACGGGCGUCUCCUUACACCAAUUGUCAAGCGGUUAACGACAUGUUGUAGCUGUUGCUGCUGUCUUGCCUCCAACAGUUCUAAUUCGGGCGAGUCUGGCGGUUAUGCAUAGCCUAAGCACUGUCAAAGUGUGCCAGUUAGGCAUAUAUGCCUACAGGCUCCGUUUGCAUUUAGUUCUGCAAUUUUAAUUUUGUGUUUUAUCUAGUUAAUAUGACUUGGGUAUUUGCGACCCCUAGACUUGCUUAGGCUAAGUGUCACCAAAGCUAACCACGCUAUCUGGGCCUAUUUUUUCUUGGGUAGUGUGGAUUAGAUUUUGGAAGGGCAUCAUAUUCUCUAAAAGGUUAAACUAUCUCAUGUACUUGACUUCUUUUGUAAGCCCCACAUGGGCUGGUUGUUAUGUAGUUCUAUUGAAUUAAUCAAAUGGUUGACACCCAGCUUGAAAAAAAAAUGAUAUGUUUAAUUCCUUAUAAAAUAAAAUAAAAAACUUAAACAUCUAGGCCAAGUACCGUUUGGUAUAGUGGCAUAAAUCUCUCCUUGUAAAUGAGAGGUCGUGAGUUCGACUCAUAGUAUUGUAACACAUUAAUUGUGUAUUUGAAUAAAAAAAAAAUUUUAAAAAAAACUUAAAAAUCUGGUAUGCUAAUAUGCAUGCCAUAUCUUUCUUAAUUUAUAUAUAAACCUUCUUGACGACAAUCUAACCAUCGCAAAACGUUAGUAGCGGUCGGUGGCGUCGCAUUGAUACUUGCAACGGCAUUUUUAAGUCGAAAUUUUUUGAGAGGGCAAUAGGUUGCCGUCACUAGUAAUUUUUCAAUAGGCAAUUUUCGUUGACUAGACAUCACCAUUGGUCUUUAGCGACGACAACUUCACUUUUCACGACGACACUACGUUAUGGUUGAUUCAUGUAUAUAAAUUUUUGUUGGCAUAGCUGAGUAGCCAACGGUAGCUGAAAGACCCUCAUUGUAUACGUAGGAAUCGAUCGAGUCACAAUUUUAAUAAGUGUCUCUCUACCACCCUUCGAUAAC